CUACAGGGAUGACAUUAAGAACUGAACUCUCUCUUUCUGAUGGAUUAGUGGAGAAGACUUAACAUUCUGAGUAGC